GAUGAACGCUGGCGGCGUGCCUAAUACAUGCAAGUCGAGCGAACGGACGAGAAGCUUGCUUCUCUGAUGUUAGCGGCGGACGGGUGAGUAACACGUGGAUAACCUACCUAUAAGACUGGGAUAACUUCGGGAAACCGUAGCUAAUACCGGAUAAUAUUUUGAACCGCAUGGUUCAAAAGUGAAAGACGGUCUUGCUGUCACUUAUAGAUGGAUCCGCGCUGCAUUAGCUAGUUGGUAAGGUAACGGCUUACCAAGGCAACGAUGCAUAGCCGACCUGAGAGGGUGAUCGGCCACACUGGAACUGAGACACGGACCAGACUCCUACGGGAGGCAGCAGUAGGGAAUCUUCCGCAAUGGGCGAAAGCCUGACGGAGCAGCGCCACGUGAGUGAUGAAGGUCUUCGGAUCGUAAAACUCUGUUAUUAGGGAAGAACAUAUGUGUAAGUAACUGUGCACAUCUUGACGGUACCUAAUCAGAAAGCCACGGCUAACUACGUG
rnacentral:rRNA from 1 species